CUCGCCCGCCUCGCUCCUCCCCGCUCCUCCUCCCUGCACCCUGCCCAAUCGCCGCGCGCCGCCGCCGCUCCCUUUGUCUGGGCCGCGAGCGCGGGCCAAUGGGAUUGCGCGGAGAGGCGGGCGGCGCGCGUCUGGGCCAAUGGGCGGGCCGGGCGGGCCUCGUGGGUAGGCGCCGCGGCCCGGGUGUCCGUGCGUGGCCGGGCGGCGUCGGGCAGGCCCGCACCCGCGGGCAGGACUGAGGCUCGGGAGGCGGGAGACUCACCGUCCCCAGUCCCCCGCGUUUUCUCCCCGCUCUGACUCUGUCCUCCGCUGUCCGGAAACGCGCCCCGGAAGGCGGGGUUGGGGAAGACCCCCGCGUGGCGGCUGCGCAGCAGGACGGCAGCAGGACCCCGGAGGCCCAGAAGGGGAAACACAAAGCAGAUUGGCUUGCUUCUAGAUGACGACUUCUGUGGACUCUAGUCCUACACUUUUCUUCAAAGUAGCAGACACAAUCUUAAUUCCAUGAGGAGGAGGAGCCACAACAGGGGCAUGGGCUUUGGUGGUCCCCAGUGUCAGGAAGGGUGGCUUCCAAUUUUCCUUGGUUUCCAAACCUCGCCUCAAAAUGAAAUCACAAAUAAACCAAAAUAAAACUCAA